UAACUUCAACAAUACCCUUCUUAACCACGAGGAAGGGUAUUUAAAAUCAAGAAUAGACCCUCUAUGAGACAUAGCAAUAAAUAUGUGUGGAGGCUUUUUUAUUUUAGGCUAUGAAUUUCAAUGUUACUCUUUAUUAAAUCUCAGCAUUUGUACACUGAGUAUAUACUGCGACAAAAGACACGAUAAAAACGUAUUGUUUUCGAGAUAUCGAUAGAUUUGAGAAGAGACAUUAUCAUGCGCUGCAGUACUUGGCAGGAGCUGCAUGCAUAAUUGCCAAAGGUCGCUUGAACAGUCCAUCGCCCCGGUCGCAGAGCUAGGAGCGCGGGAAGCCAGUGCCACCACCCAUCAGUGCUAGUGUCGGAGUGUUGUGGAGUGCCUCAUCAUUAUUUUCGUUUUACAAGCCUACUGACACAGGAUUUCAUCAAUAUCAACUAUACCAGAAGUAAUGGUGUCGGUGUCGACCUGGGGCACUGCUGAAGUUAGUGACUGGCUAACAAGAAUAGGACUACACAACUAUGUUCAAGUUUUUAUAGGUCUGUAGAGGAGCAUAAUGCCUAAAGUCAAAGCCCAUCCACUUCCUUGUCCAUUUUGUAAAGUACCAACUUAUAAUUUCAGCCAGUAUACAAAACACUUGCAGAUAUAUCAUGAGCAUGAAAACAAAUUUAAAAUCAGCUGUCAUGAUUCAGACUGCAAGAAAACAUUUACAAGGGUGUUUCCUUAUAUAAUUCAUAAUAAAAGGAAUCAUGCAACAAAAGAAUUCCUUGACUAUGCAGCAGAAGUUUCACACUCAGAGAAAAUAAACAAUACUGGGAAAACAGAAUGUGAACAUAUCGAAGUAAAUAAUCCAACUGAAAGCAAACGUGGUGAAGAUCAAG